GCCUUCAGGCAUUUAGUUAUUGUAACGACACAGAGAAGAUUAGCACGGCCCCUGCACAAGGAUGACACGCUCAAUCAAAGAGAAGCUACCAUUUUUU
rnacentral:snRNA from 1 species